UGGGGAAUAUUGGACAAUGGGCGAAAGCCUGAUCCAGCCAUGCCGCGUGUGUGAAGAAGGUCUUCGGAUUGUAAAGCACUUUAAGUUGGGAGGAAGGGCAUUAACCUAAUACGUUAGUGUUUUGACGUUACCGACAGAAUAAGCACCGGCUAACUCUGUGCCAGCAGCCGCGGUAAUACAGAGGGUGCAAGCGUUAAUCGGAAUUACUGGGCGCAAAGCGCGCGUAGGUGGUUUGUUAAGUUGGAUGUGAAAUCCCCGGGCUCAACCUGGGAACUGCAUUCAAAACUGACUGACUAGAGUAUGGUAGAGGGUGGUGGAAUUUCCUGUGUAGCGGUGAAAUGCGUAGAUAUAGGAAGGAACACCAGUGGCGAAGGCGACCACCUGGACUAAUACUGACACUGAGGUGCGAAAGCGUGGGGAGCAAACA
rnacentral:rRNA from 1 species